rnacentral:snRNA from 1 species
AUACUUACCUGGCUGGGGAGAUACCAUGAUCACGAAGGUGGUUUUCCCAGGGCGAGGCUCAUCCAUUACACUCCAAUUAUGCUGAC